rnacentral:rRNA from 1 species
UGGGGAAUUUUGGACAAUGGGGGAAACCCUGAUCCAGCCAUCCCGCGUGUGCGAUGAAGGCCUUCGGGUUGUAAAGCACUUUUGGCAGGAAAGAAACGUCGCGGGUUAAUACCCCGCGAAACUGACGGUACCUGCAGAAUAAGCACCGGCUAACUACGUGCCAGCAGCCGCGGUAAUACGUAGGGUGCAAGCGUUAAUCGGAAUUACUGGGCGUAAAGCGUGCGCAGGCGGUUCGGAAAGAAAGAUGUGAAAUCCCAGAGCUUAACUUUGGAACUGCAUUUUUAACUACCGGGCUAGAGUGUGUCAGAGGGAGGUGGAAUUCCGCGUGUAGCAGUGAAAUGCGUAGAUAUGCGGAGGAACACCGAUGGCGAAGGCAGCCUCCUGGGAUAACACUGACGCUCAUGCACGAAAGCGUGGGGAGCAAACAGGAUUAGAUACCCUGGUAGUCCACGCCCCAAACGAUGUCAACUAGCUGUUGGGGCCUUCGGGCCUUGGUAGCGCAGCUAACGCGUGAAGUUGACCGCCCUGGGGAGUACGGUCGCAAGAUUAAAACUUAAAUGAAUUGACGGGGUCAUAGCU